rnacentral:rRNA from 6 species
CAGGUGCUGCAUGGCUGUCGUCAGCUCGUGUUGUGAAAUGUUGGGUUAAGUCCCGCAACGAGCGCAACCCUUAUCCUUUGUUGCCAGCGAUUAGGUCGGGAACUCAAAGGAGACUGCCAGUGAUAAACUGGAGGAAGGUGGGGAUGACGUCAAGUCAUCAUGGCCCUUACGACCAGGGCUACACACGUGCUACAAUGGCGCAUACAAAGAGAAGCGACCUCGCGAGAGCAAGCGGACCUCAUAAAGUGCGUCGUAGUCCGGAUUGGAGUCUGCAACUCGACUCCAUGAAGUCGGAAUCGCUAGUAAUCGUGGAUCAGAAUGCCACGGUGAAUACGUUCCCGGGCCUUGUACACACCGCCCGUCACACCAUGGGAGUGGGUUGCAAAAGAAGUAGGUAGCUUAACCUUCGGGAGGGCGCUUACCACUUUGUGAUUCAUGACUGGGGUGAAGUCGUAACAAGGUAACCGUAGGGGAACCUGC